rnacentral:rRNA from 1 species
UUGUCUCUAGUUGCUACGAAAGGGCACUCUAGAGAGACUGCCGGUGACAAACCGGAGGAAGGUGGGGAUGACGUCAAGUCCUCAUGGCCCUUAUGGGUAGGGCUUCACACGUCAUACAAUGGUGCAUACAGAGGGUUGCCAACCCGCGAGGUGGAGCUAAUCCCAGAAAACGCAUCGUAGUCCGGAUCGUAGUCUGCAACUCGACUACGUGAAGCUGGAAUCGCUAGUAAUCGCGGAUCAGCAUGCC